rnacentral:lncRNA from 1 species
UCGUUUGGGCCUCAUGCCCAAACAGCCCGGCAUCAACAAAUUGUGCCCACACAGACAGACAUCAACAAGCGAACAACUCAACAGCAUGAACUAAAACGCUUAUCCUCAUAACUUGCAGCAAAAGGAAUAACCACUUCUCAUAACUUGACGCCAACAAAUAGAAGAGAAACACGUCUCAUAAACUCCACACGUAGAAUCGCGUUUUCAUCCUUGCAUCCAUCUUCACCUCCGCCUUCUUCAAAUUGCAGCGCACCAAGUCAAGAAACACGAAUCCACUUCAUCGAUUCGCAACUCGGAAUCAUAAUCAAACCUCAAUUCGAUAUCGUGCGGGUGUGCAAACUGAAGAAAAAUAAAAAGCGUCAAAGUCAAAUCGAAGACUCACCACAUUAAACAGGUACCGAACUUUUUCGUUUCGAUUUCAAUUCUUGCAUGCGAUAUUUGCAUGCGUUUUACAUUUUUUGUGUGAAUUCUUGAUGCUGAGAGUAAGGAACGAUUGAAGAAAUUUUAUGUUGCGUGAGUGCUAUGCAUGUUGCGUAUGCUUGAUUGUGAAUGAAUUAUGAUUGACGAAUUUCUCUGUUGCGUGAUACUUUCUCUUCUCUUCUGAAAUUUUUCUGUUACCCUGGUGAAUGAACAAAAUCGAUUUAAUGAAGAAAAGUUGAUUCAUUGAUAUGUGAUGAUGCUUGUAUUUAUAAGGUUCUGAUUCUAUUUGAAAUUCACAUGAAACUCAGCUUGAAAUGCAGUAGUCAGUUACAAAUGAAAUAUUUAGUUGGAAAUUCAAAUUGAAAUGUAAUUGAUUUUAAGUCGAAUUUGGUGUUGCAAUUUUGUUAAGUGUUGUUAAGUUCAGUUAGGAGUUCGUUUAGUUGUGAGAAGAGUUAUACUAUGCUUCUGUUGGAAUAUGUUAAUUAGUGAUGGAAUGUUAAUCAGUUGCAGGGUAAUUGGAGUGCAUUUGGAACUGUUUUGCAGGCCAUGGACUGUUAUGGAGAAAAACAGGCAGUUAUGUAACUUCACAGGAUUAGAGUUAACAUAAGCCUCCACAUGGGCUCCAGAGCAGAAUGACUUUUUUUGUGACGUACAGAUUACCUGUGGCAACAACAGAGGACACUUGAAAUGAGGAGAAGCAUUAGUGAGUGUGUAUGAGGAAGAAGUAGAAGGUGAUGACGUGGCAUGAGUUGGAUUUGGAAAGUUCAUAGCUUAAUAAUUGAUAAAUCAGCAACAGCAGCAAUGUAUAGGUUAGGCUUUGUUUGUGGUUAUGUUGUCCUAAUGGUAAUGUGGUUUGGAAUGGACAUGUAUUGGCUUGUGAACAUGGUUUCAAAUGUUUGGUUUUUGAAUGUAUAGGUUGGUUUGAAAUUGUAUGUAUAAAUUGGUUUGAAAUUGCAAUGAAUUUGGUUUAAUGAUUGUAAAUUGAAACAAUGGUUGAAUAUUCUAAUGUGAAAGAGUGGUUGAAUUGUAUAUGGAAUUGUAUGGUUGAAUGAAAUAUUGUAAUCAAUGGUUACGUCACUUGGAAUGAACAGACUUAUUUGAAAAUAGUCAUGGAUUAUAUGGAAUUGAACUUUGAA